CCUACGGGAGGCAGCAGUGGGGAAUAUUGCACAAUGGGGGAAACCCUGAUGCAGCGACGCCGCGUGAGCGAUGAAGUAUUUCGGUAUGUAAAGCUCUAUCAGCAGGGAAGAAAAUGACGGUACCUGACUACGAAGCCCCGGCUAAAUACGUGCCAGCAGCCGCGGUAAUACGUAGGGGGCAAGCGUUAACCGGAUUUACUGGGUGUAAAGGGAGCGUAGACGGUCCUGCAAGCCAGAUGUGAAAGCCGGGGGCCCAACCCCGGGACUGCAUUUGGAACUGUAAGGCUAGAGUGUCGGAGAGGCAGGCGGAAUUCCUAGUGUAGCGGUGAAAUGCGUAGAUAUUAGGAGGAACACCAGUGGCGAAGGCGGCCUGCUGGACGAUGACUGACGUUGAGGCUCGAAAGCGUGGGGAGCAAACAGGAUUAGAUACCCUUGUAGUC
rnacentral:rRNA from 1 species